AGAGUUUGAUCCUGGCUCAGAGCGAACGCUGGCGGCGUGCUUAACACAUGCAAGUCGAGUGCGCGCCUGUAGCAAUACAGGUGGCGCACGGCGCACGGGUGCGUAACACGUGGGUAAUCUGCCCUUCGAUGGGGAAUAACCCCGGGAAACCGGGGCUAAUUCCGCAUAACAUUCCGAUAACUAACGUUGUUGGACUCAAAGCCGUAAGGCGUCGAAGGAGGAGCCCGCGCACGAUUAGCUAGUUGGUGAGGUAACGGCUCACCAAGGCUAUGAUCGUUAGCUGGUCUGAGAGGAUGGCCAGCCACACUGGAACUGAGACACGGUCCAGACUCCUACGGGAGGCAGCAGUGGGGAAUCUUGCACAAUGGGCGAAAGCCUGACGCAGCGACGCCGCGUGGGGGAUGAAGCUUUUCGGAGUGUACACCCCUUUCGACCCGGAA
rnacentral:rRNA from 1 species